AGUGAACGCUGGCGGUAGGCCUAACACAUGCAAGUCGAGCGGCAGCACAGUAAGAGCUUGCUCUUACGGGUGGCGAGUGGCGGACGGGUGAGGAAUACAUCGGAAUCUACUUUUUCGUGGGGGAUAACGUAGGGAAACUUACGCUAAUACCGCAUACGACCUACGGGUGAAAGCAGGGGAUCUUCGGACCUUGCGCGAUUGAAUGAGCCGAUGUCGGAUUAGCUAGUUGGCGGGGUAGAGGCCCACCAAGGCGACGAUCCGUAGCUGGUCUGAGAGGAUGAUCAGCCACACUGGAACUGAGACACGGUCCAGACUCCUACGGGAGGCAGCAGUGGGGAAUAUUGGACAAUGGGCGCAAGCCUGAUCCAGCCAUACCGCGUGGGUGAAGAAGGCCUUCGGGUUGUAAAGCCCUUUUGUUGGGAAAGAAAAGCAGCAGGUUAAUACCCCGCUGUUCUGACGGUACCCAAAGAAUAAGCACCGGCUAACUUCGUG
rnacentral:rRNA from 1 species